GGGGAAUAUUGCACAAUGGGCGAAAGCCUGAUGCAGCAACGCCGCGUGAGUGAUGAAGGUCUUCGGAUUGUAAAGCUCUGUCUUUUGGGACGAUAAUGACGGUACCAAAGGAGGAAGCCACGGCUAACUACGUGCCAGCAGCCGCGGUAAUACGUAGGUGGCGAGCGUUGUCCGGAUUUACUGGGCGUAAAGGGUGCGUAGGCGGAUGUUUAAGUGAGAUGUGAAAUACCCGGGCUUAACUUGGGUGCUGCAUUUCAAACUGGAUAUCUAGAGUGCAGGAGAGGAGAAUGGAAUUCCUAGUGUAGCGGUGAAAUGCGUAGAGAUUAGGAAGAACACCAGUGGCGAAGGCGAUUCUCUGGACUGUAACUGACGCUGAGGCACGAAAGCGUGGGUAGCAAACAGGAUUAGAUACCCUGGUAGUCCACGCCGUAAACGAUGAGUACUAGGUGUAGGAGGUAUCGACCCCUUCUGUGCCGCAGUAAACACAUUAAGUACUCCGC
rnacentral:rRNA from 1 species